AAGUUCCUUCAAUGCAUUUAGUUCCUAAGAGAUUAGCGUGUGCCUUUCUAUAAUGCCUGAACUCUGCUGGAUGAGCUGCAGAAGGGCUGGCAGCAGGCUGGGGUGUGGAUUGGAAAAACUCAACCGACACAGGUCUGCAAGGCCUGCGUGGCUGCUUCUGCAUCCCACACCUGAAGACAGGAUGGCUGCACUGCUGGGCCAAGGGUGGUCUUCAAAAAAGCUCAGCACAUCACUGUGCCUAAGAUUAUCCAUUUUCUGUUCUGAGACUUGAUUUUUCAGAUCUCUGUUACCAUCACACAAGUCACUGUCCUCCAAGUCUCUGAAGAUGACUUUUGUCCAGCUGACAUUUACAGGGUCAGAAGCUAUAAUCUUCCUAGAAGCUGUCCCCAGCUGAUGACAUGCUGUCCAUCCUGAGGACCAUGGGCAUUUGCAGCUUGCCCUUAGUUCCAGUCAGUCUUCCUGUUACUCAGCCUGGGGUAUAGCUGUUGUGCUUCUUUUCCAAAUAUCCAUAGUAUGUGUCCAGAUUUCAUCCCAAUGCUGUAUAAGGAACCAGUACAUGCCCUCAAGCAGAAGGCCAGGAUGGCCAUGGGACUCAUCACCCUCAUUAGCAAAACAUCAAAGACAUCAGAGACCUCUCUUUACAUUUCUCACAAGGAACUUCCCAAACUUGGAGAGCAGCAGAACGCUUCUAAGAAGCCAGUUCCCUGAUCCCUUUCCAGAGUCACCUCCUUAAAGGAUCCUCUCAUAAUGGGAACUGAUUAUCUGUUUGGUCUUGGUAAACCUCAGUUUUGCAGCCAUACAGGUGCCUCAGGGCUACCGUGGCAGCACUGAUGACUGAGAAUAUUUGUGCGUACAUGGAUUUCCGCACAGCAUUCGUUCUGCAGUUAAACACCUUAAGUAACCCUUGGAAAUGAUUCUAGCUGUAUUUAAAAGUGGUAGCAUAGCAACUGAUUUUUUUUUUUUUCCAAACAGUGAGAGAAGUGAAUGCUAAUCCUCUUGAGGGUGCUGUUUAUUAAAAUUUCCACAAUGGAAAUGAAGAGUAUCUUCCUCUUUGCCAAAACAACUCUAAACUAAUUGUAACAGGAACGUUUCAUUUGCUUGAGAUAUAGAAAACAAAGAAAACUUCGUUGUUGUUCCAGAAAGCUGAAAAAUAUAGAAGUAUGAGGUUUGGUAGUGCAUGUAUUAAAUAAUGGCUUUAUAGAAUGAGGUUAGGCAGGAGAGGAUAUGGACUGUUUGAGUGUUAUGUGUACUGGGUCAUGAACCUAUACUGGGAAUUUGGGUGCCUUGUAAAUGGGCUGUGAUUACACUGUGAAGACUGAACUGGGUUGCCUGAUGAGCAGCCUGGUGACAAAGAGCCGGUAAGAUGUGGCCCCUCUGGGGCUGCAUUUUCCUAUGGCUGUCGAGGACUGCACUUGAUGGGAAGUUUUCUGCUUAUAGCCCAUGUUAACUGAGGAGGGGAACUAAAUGUAGACAAACUGGUGUUUUAAAUUUGACACUUAAACACCUAUCUUAGAAAAGGGUGAUUAUACAGAUUUUUCUCUUUUCCUACUGAAGGUAUAAAUUCUCUUUAAUUCUUUGUUAGUCUAAAAUGCCUUGUUGAUAUGUAGCAUCUCUGCACAAUGUAGGCAUUUCAGUCUCAGUCCAUUAAAGGACUUCAUGUUGAUCACAGUAUCUUUAGCCUUAAACAUUCUUCUGGCUUCAGAGGGAGUACAUAAAACCCUACAGUCAAAUCUGAGUCUUUGUGCUUUAAUGUGCUGCAUCCUGAGAGACUUUGGCGCAGCCAAAUAUGUAUUAAACUGUGUAUAUUGAAAUUUGUCAUUUCACACAUGAAUUUAUUCUAUUGGAUUAUUUUCACUAUAUGUGCAAGGUAUUUGGAACUGUAUUCUGUUAAUGAUUUCUUUAAUAUCUGAGAUGUUGAAGACAAUGUAUUUUUUGUAUCUGUUUCAGACCAGUAAAACUGGAAUGUCACAAUUUAAUCAGUUAAUACUGCUUUCUAUGUUCUCCUCCUUCUCUAAAAAGCUGUAUUGGUGUUUUCUGUUGCAGAAAUUGUCCAGUAAUGUUCAGUUUACUCAACACAUUGUAACGGUGCUUCCUCUCCAUUUUAUUGUACUAGUUGCCAAUAAGUCCUUCAGAGCCUGGUCUACAAAGGGAGAUAUCAGAAGUGGUGAGAGAAAGAUGUAGUG
rnacentral:lncRNA from 7 species